AUGGGCUGGAAAGAGCGCCGCAGCGAUGGCGCGCGAGGCAACCACAGCGGGGGCGCGCGAGGCAACCGCAGCGGCGGCGCGCGAAGCAAUCGCGGUGCCGUUAUUUUGGGAGAUAAAACACAUUUUGGUGAUGCUUUGGAAUGGGAGAACAUGACAAGAGGAGGAGUAAAUCAUAACACAAGAGCUGCUAUUCUGGAACAUGAUAAAACACAUUUUGGUGAUGCUUCAGAAAGGGAGAACAUGACAAACAGUGGAGUAAAUCAUAACACAAGGCCUAAAGAUUUGCUAGUGGGCAGGAGGGCUGUUCCUCAUGAUCACAAUGAACAAAUCACAAGCGAAUCAGAUAUCGGCAGACGGUUCAAGGGCCUGGAAGAGAAGGGCAGUUCGAAACAUGCUGGCCAUUGCGCUGUGAAAGCUAUAGAAAUUCCUGGACAAACUUGUGAUAGAAGAGCCGUCAUUUUGGAAGAUAAAACACAUUUUGGUGAUGCUUCGGAAUGGGAGAACAUGACAAGAGGAGGAGUAAAUCAUAACACAAGAGCUGCUAUUCGGGAACAUGAUAAAACACAUUUUGGUGAUGCUUCAGAAAGGGAAAACAUGACAAACAGAGUAAAUCAUAACACAAGGCCUAAUGAUUUGCUAGCGGGCAGCAGGGCUGGUUCUCAUGAUCACUAUGACAUUUGUAGUAAACAAAUCGCAAAAGAAUCAGAUAUUGGCAAACGGUUCAAGAGCUUGGAAGAGAAGGGAAAUUCGAAAUCUGCUGGGCAUUUCUAUGUGAUGGAUAUAGACAUUGAAGGACAAACUUGUGAUAGAAGGUGCCGUUGCGUUGAUGCAGCUCUUGAUCGACGCUAUUUUGAUCAACCAUUUGCCUGCAUUCAUUGCCAUGGGAGUGUUAUUCAAUCACUUGUGGACUAUAUUGAGUGGAAUCCCAUCACCGAGGCAUUUGUGCCACCUGGGGAUGCAUACGGGGAUGUUUUUGUGGAUGCUGGGAUCAACAUACGUGUCAUCCUGUGA
rnacentral:rRNA from 1 species